CUUUCAUUGGGUUGCCGCUAGCCCAAGCCGUCUUGCAGAAUCUCAGCUGGUCAAUCAACCAAUGGAGCGAACUCUAUCAGGAUCUACCUAGCAGAUAGCUCAAGGUCAAAAUUAUGGAUAGAACCGCGGUUGUCACAGCAAAUGCAGAAACAGUAGCCGUGAAGCCCCCUGGCAUUCAAGAAGCCAUCAAUGCUGAAACUGUUAAAUACCCUCGUGGCCGAUCUUUCAUACGCCCGUCAGGGACCGAGGAUGUCAUCCGGGUUUAUGCGGAGGCCUCAAUUCAGG